rnacentral:rRNA from 1 species
GGUGAACGCUGGCGGCGUGCCUAAUACAUGCAAGUCGAGCGAACAGAUAAGGAGCUUGCUCCUUUGACGUUAGCGGCGGACGGGUGAGUAACACGUGGAUAACCUACCUAUAAGACUGGGAUAACUUCGGGAAACCGGAGCUAAUACCGGAUAACAUAUUGAACCGCAUGGUUCAAUAGUGAAAGGCGGCUUUGCUGUCACUUAUAGAUGGAUCCGCGCCGUAUUAGCUAGUUGGUAAGGUAACGGCUUACCAAGGCAACGAUACGUAGCCGACCUGAGAGGGUGAUCGGCCACACUGGAACUGAGACACGGUCCAGACUCCUACGGGAGGCAGCAGUAGGGAAUCUUCCGCAAUGGGCGAAAGCCUGACGGAGCAACGCCGCGUGAGUGAUGAAGGUCUUCGGAUCGUAAAACUCUGUUAUCAGGGAAGAACAAAUGUGUAAGUAACUGUGCACAUCUUGACGGUACCUGAUCAGAAAGCCACGGCUAACUACGUG